rnacentral:rRNA from 1 species
GACGAGCGCUGGCGGCGCGCUUAACACAUGCAAGUCGAGCGAGAACCAGGGCUUCGGCCCUGGGGACAGCGGCGAACGGGUGAGUAACACGUGGGUAAUCUGCCCUCGGCACCGGAAUAGCCCGGGGAAACCCGGAUUAAUGCCGGAUGGCCCCUUCACCUCGCGAGGUGUCGGGAAAAGGUAGCUUCGGCCUCUGGCCGAGGAUGAGCCCGCGGCGGAUUAGCUUGUUGGCGGGGUAACGGCCCACCAAGGCAACGAUCCGUAGCUGGUCUGAGAGGACGAUCAGCCACACGGGGACGGAGACACGGCCCAGACGCCUACGGGAGGCAGCAGUGGGGAAUCUUGCGCAAUGGGCGAGAGCCUGACGCAGCGACGCCGCGUGAGGGAAGACGGCCUUCGGGUUGUAAACCUCUUUCAGGAGGGACGAAGCUACUCGGGUGAAUAGCCCAGAGGGUGACGGUACCUCCAGAAGAAGCCCCGGCUAACUACGUGCCAGCCGCCGCAGUAACAC